UUUUCUCUAAGUACAAGUGGUGGCCUGAUCCAAACCUUGAUGCAGCCUGAGGAAAGAUCCAGUCUCACUGGAUCUUGAAGAGUUUGGCAGCUUGAGUGCAGAAAAGCUCUUUCUGGUUUUAUUUUAAGACCUCAUAAAAAUAUUCUUCUAUUUUCUAUUGGAGUUUGCCUGCUUUGCAGUCCAAACAUCCCAUCUGUACAUGUGUCAGCAUCCAGGUCGUCUCUUUUUUCUCUCCAGCUGCACUGAGAGACUUUCUCGUUCCUAGUUUGGAAGUCUGCUGGAUUAAUUUUUGGAGUUUUGCACUUCAGGGCUUCUAGCCAGUGCUGCGUUCACAGCUGAGAAAUGCAGUGGUUUGCAGUGACCAAAGAAAGGGACUGAUGUAUGCAAAUGCCACUGGAAAAACAGGAGACACGAGCACUGAAGGCAACCAGGAGGUUUUUAAGAAGCAGGUGGAAAUGAAAACAAGAAAAUGACUGAAAUGGAAAUCUCAAAAACUUUAAGAGAAAAGAUGUUGAAACAUUAACAUAUUACUGGAAAUGGAGACAAAACUCUUCUUUAAAUAGUACAACUAGAGCUGAUAUUUCCAUCUGUUCUGCUAUGGGAAAGAAACUUGUUCAGGAGUGGAGGAUUUGCUGCUUUUCAGGAAAAGAUCAGACAAGAUUCUCUAGCUUGAUGGCAAGGUAA
rnacentral:lncRNA from 1 species